GUUAAAGUGGCAGAGCCUGGCUAUUGCAAAAGACCUAAGCUCUUUCUACAGGGGUUCAAAUCCUCUCUUCAACU
rnacentral:tRNA from 1 species